rnacentral:rRNA from 1 species
AUACGGAGGACCCGAGCGUUAUCCGGAUUUAUGGGUUUAAAGGGCGCGUAGGCGGGACGUCAAGUCAGCGGUAAAAGACUGCAGCUAAACUGUAGCACGCCGUUGAAACUGGCGCCCUGGAGACGAGACGAGGGAGGCGGAACAAGUGAAGUAGCGGUGAAAUGCAUAGAUAUCACUUGGAACCCCGAUAGCGAAGGCAGCUUCCCAGGCUCGUUCUGACGCUGAUGCGCGAGAGCGUGGGUAGC